rnacentral:rRNA from 1 species
AUUGAACGCUGGCGGCAGGCCUAACACAUGCAAGUCGAGCGGAGCGGCGGACGGGUGAGUAAUGCCGAGGAAUCUGCCUGGUAGUGGGGGAUAACGUCCGGAAACGGGCGCUAAUACCGCAUACUAUCAGAUGAGCCUAGGUCGGAGUAGUUAGGUGGUGGGGUAAAGGCCUACCAAGGCGACGAUCCGUAACUGGUGUUAGAGGUUGAUCAGUCACACUGGAACGGAGACACGGUCCGUACUCCUACGGGAGGCAGCAGUGGGGAAUGUUGGACAAUGGACGAAAGCCGGAUCCAGCCAGGCCGGGUGUGUGAAGAAGGUCUUCGGAUUGUAAAGCACUUUAAGUUGGGAGGCGUUUCCAACAGAAUAAGCUCCGGCUAACUUCGUGCCAGCAGCCGCGUUAAUAC